rnacentral:rRNA from 1 species
CAAGUCGAGGGGCAUCGGGGAGCGAAGCUUGCUUUGCUCCGCCGGCGACCGGCGCACGGGUGAGUAACGCGUAUGCAACCUGCCCGUUUCAGCGGGAUAACCCGGAGAAAUCCGGCCUAAUACCGCAUGUGGCCGAGGGAAGGCAUCUUCUUUCGGCCAAAGGAGGCGACUCCGGAGACGGAUGGGCAUGCGUGACAUUAGCUUGUUGGCGGGGUAACGGCCCACCAAGGCGACGAUGUCUAGGGGUUCUGAGAGGAAGGUCCCCCACACUGGUACUGAGACACGGACCAGACUCCUACGGGAGGCAGCAGUGAGGAAUAUUGGUCAAUGGGCGAGAGCCUGAACCAGCCAAGUCGCGUGAAGGAUGACGGCCCUACGGGUUGUAAACUUCUUUUGUCAGGGAGCAAUUGAGUCCACGUGUGGGCUUAGCGAGAGUACCUGAAGAAAAAGCAUCGGCUAACUCCGUGCCAGCAGCCGCGGUAAUACGGAGGAUGCGAGCGUUAUCCGGAUUUAUUGGGUUUAAAGGGUGCGUAGGCGGAAUAUCAAGUCAGCGGUAAAAAUUCGGGGCUCAACCCCGUCGUGCCGUUGAAACUGAUGUUCUUGAGUGGGCGAGAAGUAUGCGGAAUGCGUGGUGUAGCGGUGAAAUGCAUAGAUAUCACGCAGAACUCCGAUUGCGAAGGCAGCAUACCGGCGCCCAACUGACGCUGAAGCACGAAAGCGUGGGUAUCGAACAGGAUUAGAUACCCUGGUAGUCCACGCAGUAAACGAUGAAUGCUAAUUGUCCGGAGGGAUUGACCUCUGGGUGAUACAGCGAAAGCGUUAAGCA